rnacentral:rRNA from 1 species
GACGAACGCGGCGGCGUGCUUAACACAUGCAAGUCGAACGAAGAGCGAUGGAAGCUUGCUUCUAUCAAUCUUAGUGGCGAACGGGUGAGUAACGCGUAAUCAACCUGCCCUUCAGAGGGGGACAACAGUUGGAAACGACUGCUAAUACCGCAUACGAUCUAAUCUCGGCAUCGAGGAUAGAUGAAAGGUGGCCUCUACAUGUAAGCUAUCACUGAAGGAGGGGAUUGCGUCUGAUUAGCUAGUUGGAGGGGUAACGGCCCACCAAGGCGAUGAUCAGUAGCCGGUCUGAGAGGAUGAACGGCCACAUUGGGACUGAGACACGGCCCAGACUCCUACGGGAGGCAGCAGUGGGGAAUCUUCCGCAAUGGACGAAAGUCUGACGGAGCAACGCCGCGUGAGUGAUGACGGCCUUCGGGUUGUAAAGCUCUGUUAAUCGGGACGAAAGGCCUUCUUGCGAAUAGUGAGAAGGAUUGACGGUACCGGAAUAGAAAGCC